UUUACCUCCAGGCUGAUGUUUUGCCCCACCUCGCAUGUCUGUCCAAAAUCUUUCAAAAAGCAAAUGUCAACUUUUUACAAAUCAAGGAGCAGGUUCCUGUCACAAUUCAGUCUCUGGCUGGACAGACUCCACUCCCUGGAUCAUGCCUGCCUCGCCUCCAUCAGGACCUCGAUGAUCCCCAAGGACUCGGAGCCAGCACGAGGAGGAGAGGAAUAGGAGAGGGCGAGAUGUCAUGAAGCGCUGAGGGAGGAGCAGUGAGCCAGAACCCAGCGAGAGGUCAUCCACCCUUACAUAACUGGCCUGGAAACACACCUGGAGAGGAGGUUUCAUGAUCUGGACAUUCUUGGGGCCUUCAGUAUCUUGGGACCCGCACCGCAAUCAACCACUCUACAAGAUGAUACAAUCAACAUCUCUCAUCUGCGGACUCUUGCCAGGAAAUGUUGCCCUGAACAUGAGAAUGAGGUCCUGCAGGAGUGGUCCUCGUUCAAAAAUCAUGUCCUUCCUGGGGCAUUCACGAACAAUAACCAGGAGAUCAUGAGUCUGCUGGCAAGCGAGUUUGAUGAGUGGACCAACCUCUACCC